GGGUUGUGAGGUUAAGCGACUAAGCGUACACGGUGGAUGCCCUGGCAGUCAGAGGCGAUGAAGGACGUGCUAAUCUGCGAUAAGCGUCGGUAAGGUGAUAUGAACCGUUAUAACCGGCGAUUUCCGAAUGGGGAAACCCAGUGUGUUUCGACACACUAUCAUUAACUGAAUCCAUAGGUUAAUGAGGCGAACCGGGGGAACUGAAACAUCUAAGUACCCCGAGGAAAAGAAAUCAACCGAGAUUCCCCCAGUAGCGGCGAGCGAACGGGGAGCAGCCCAGAGCCUGAAUCAGUGUGUGUGUUAGUGGAAGCGUCUGGAAAGGCGCGCGAUACAGGGUGACAGCCCCGUACACAAAAAUGCACAUGCUGUGAGCUCGAUGAGUAGGGCGGGACACGUGGUAUCCUGUCUGAAUAUGGGGGGACCAUCCUCCAAGGCUAAAUACUCCUGACUGACCGAUAGUGAACCAGUACCGUGAGGGAAAGGCGAAAAGAACCCCGGCGAGGGGAGUGAAAAAGAACCUGAAACCGUGUACGUACAAGCAGUGGGAGCCUCUCUUUAUGGGGGGUGACUGCGUACCUUUUGUAUAAUGGGUCAGCGACUUAUAUUCUGUAGCAAGGUUAACCGAAUAGGGGAGCCGAAGGGAAACCGAGUCUUAACUGGGCGUUAAGUUGCAGGGUAUAGACCCGAAACCCGGUGAUCUAGCCAUGGGCAGGUUGAAGGUUGGGUAACACUAACUGGAGGACCGAACCGACUAAUGUUGAAAAAUUAGCGGAUGACUUGUGGCUGGGGGUGAAAGGCCAAUCAAACCGGGAGAUAGCUGGUUCUCCCCGAAAGCUAUUUAGGUAGCGCCUCGUGAAUUCAUCUCCGGGGGUAGAGCACUGUUUCGGCAAGGGGGUCAUCCCGACUUACCAACCCGAUGCAAACUGCGAAUACCGGAGAAUGUUAUCACGGGAGACACACGGCGGGUGCUAACGUCCGUCGUGAAGAGGGAAACAACCCAGACCGCCAGCUAAGGUCCCAAAGUCAUGGUUAAGUGGGAAACGAUGUGGGAAGGCCCAGACAGCCAGGAUGUUGGCUUAGAAGCAGCCAUCAUUUAAAGAAAGCGUAAUAGCUCACUGGUCGAGUCGGCCUGCGCGGAAGAUGUAACGGGGCUAAACCAUGCACCGAAGCUGCGGCAGCGACGCUUAUGCGUUGUUGGGUAGGGGAGCGUUCUGUAAGCCUGUGAAGGUGUGCUGUGAGGCAUGCUGGAGGUAUCAGAAGUGCGAAUGCUGACAUAAGUAACGAUAAAGCGGGUGAAAAGCCCGCUCGCCGGAAGACCAAGGGUUCCUGUCCAACGUUAAUCGGGGCAGGGUGAGUCGACCCCUAAGGCGAGGCCGAAAGGCGUAGUCGAUGGGAAACAGGUUAAUAUUCCUGUACUUGGUGUUACUGCGAAGGGGGGACGGAGAAGGCUAUGUUGGCCGGGCGACGGUUGUCCCGGUUUAAGCGUGUAGGCUGGUUUUCCAGGCAAAUCCGGAAAAUCAAGGCUGAGGCGUGAUGACGAGGCACUACGGUGCUGAAGCAACAAAUGCCCUGCUUCCAGGAAAAGCCUCUAAGCAUCAGGUAACAUCAAAUCGUACCCCAAACCGACACAGGUGGUCAGGUAGAGAAUACCAAGGCGCUUGAGAGAACUCGGGUGAAGGAACUAGGCAAAAUGGUGCCGUAACUUCGGGAGAAGGCACGCUGAUAUGUAGGUGAAGUCCCUCGCGGAUGGAGCUGAAAUCAGUCGAAGAUACCAGCUGGCUGCAACUGUUUAUUAAAAACACAGCACUGUGCAAACACGAAAGUGGACGUAUACGGUGUGACGCCUGCCCGGUGCCGGAAGGUUAAUUGAUGGGGUUAGCGCAAGCGAAGCUCUUGAUCGAAGCCCCGGUAAACGGCGGCCGUAACUAUAACGGUCCUAAGGUAGCGAAAUUCCUUGUCGGGUAAGUUCCGACCUGCACGAAUGGCGUAAUGAUGGCCAGGCUGUCUCCACCCGAGACUCAGUGAAAUUGAACUCGCUGUGAAGAUGCAGUGUACCCGCGGCAAGACGGAAAGACCCCGUGAACCUUUACUAUAGCUUGACACUGAACAUUGAGCCUUGAUGUGUAGGAUAGGUGGGAGGCUUUGAAGUGUGGACGCCAGUCUGCAUGGAGCCGACCUUGAAAUACCACCCUUUAAUGUUUGAUGUUCUAACGUGGACCCGUGAUCCGGGUUGCGGACAGUGUCUGGUGGGUAGUUUGACUGGGGCGGUCUCCUCCUAAAGAGUAACGGAGGAGCACGAAGGUUGGCUAAUCCUGGUCGGACAUCAGGAGGUUAGUGCAAUGGCAUAAGCCAGCUUGACUGCGAGCGUGACGGCGCGAGCAGGUGCGAAAGCAGGUCAUAGUGAUCCGGUGGUUCUGAAUGGAAGGGCCAUCGCUCAACGGAUAAAAGGUACUCCGGGGAUAACAGGCUGAUACCGCCCAAGAGUUCAUAUCGACGGCGGUGUUUGGCACCUCGAUGUCGGCUCAUCACAUCCUGGGGCUGAAGUAGGUCCCAAGGGUAUGGCUGUUCGCCAUUUAAAGUGGUACGCGAGCUGGGUUUAGAACGUCGUGAGACAGUUCGGUCCCUAUCUGCCGUGGGCGCUGGAGAACUGAGGGGGGCUGCUCCUAGUACGAGAGGACCGGAGUGGACGCAUCACUGGUGUUCGGGUUGUCAUGCCAAUGGCACUGCCCGGUAGCUAAAUGCGGAAGAGAUAAGUGCUGAAAGCAUCUAAGCACGAAACUUGCCCCGAGAUGAGUUCUCCCUGACUCCUUGAGAGUCCUGAAGGAACGUUGAAGACGACGACGUUGAUAGGCCGGGUGUGUAAGCGCAGCGAUGCGUUGAGCUAACCGGUACUAAUGAACCGUGAGGCUUAACCUUACAACGCCGAAG
rnacentral:rRNA from 1 species